UCUAAAGGGAUUUGUAUGAACAAGUCCUUUAUUUAUUUAUUUGUCUAGUUAGUACCAAACAGAGAGAGAAGAUGAGUUUAGAAUCCUGGUUCUUUAGUUAGAUAGUACCAAUAGGGAUUGGUUAAUUUUGCUGCUACAACUCGAACGGAGAUGAUGAGCGAGGUGGAGUAGAAGGUGAUGAAAGUCGACGCAACGCUGAGCCAAACCCACUCCUUGCCGACGCAACCUAGAUGUGGUUCUCUUAAGUCACGAAGCUAGAUAUAUCCUUCACCGGUAGCUAGUUUGAUCUAUCCUGAUGGACAAGCUAACAUACAUAGCAGUAGUUGAUUUUUUAUCAUUCCCCCACCGGCCAGAGCACAACGUACACACAGAGAGAGCAAAUCUCCAGUUAGCUUUUUUUUAGUUUGUCCUCUAAUUAGCAGAAACUACUCAUUCUUACUCCCCGCAGGUGGCUGGCAGUAUCAUCCUUGAUCUAUAUUUUUUGGAUGGUUAGUCAAAGAGCAUGUGAUUAAUAAAUUAGAGGAAGUGCAGGUUACUUUGUUGUUUCCCCUAGAUCUGUUCUCACGAACAUGCAUAUGCAUCACACUAAUCUGCUUCUUCAUAAUUAUUGAAUCCAAGCAUGUAAGUCGCUAUAGCAUUUGCACAUCAAUCCAGAUAUGUUUCAUUACUCCAGUUUCUACCUUUAGUUUUAUAUAUGGGCUAGCUACUACACAAUUUAAUUACUCUGCAUAUUUUGUAUUACCUGAACAUGGAUAAAUUGCAUGUAAAAUUUUGGUUCCCAUAGAUCUCUCGGUUGAGUCAAGGACUCUAGGUAGCAAUUUUUUCUAUCUCAAUUUCAUUUGCUAUAGUCAGUUACUAUUUCGCAUUAAUAUGUUCAGAUUCCCAGGUAUGAUUAAUUGAUCAUAUGUACCUUUGGAUCUUCCAAAACAAUCAACAUUUUAUCUGCGCUAUUUUCUUUCACAUUUGCCAUUUUGUUCAUAUCUGUAGAUCUAUUUAUAUAUAUUCUUUUUUUGUUUCUGCCAACCCACAUAUGCAUCAAUUUGAAUGAACUUAAAUUUGAUCCUUUAUUUGGUAUUACCUACAUAAAAUUGAUUAUCCAUCUCUUCUUUGAUGCACAGGUAGGUACCGCUGAUGUACUGGAGCCUUGAUCUUAAUUUUUCUUCAUUGAUGUCCUUGGAGAAGAUGGCCAUUGGAGUGUAGGGGAGGAACAACCUUCUCUUGCUCGAGGAGGAGGACCACCCGAUCUCGACGACGGCACGGCAACAGGUAGCACUCGCCUCCCUCCCAUGGUGAAGGUCUGAUCCGCCUGUUUAGAUGGUCUGCUCUUGUCUUAUGCAUGUGAGGGGAGAAGAAAGCCAUUGGACUGAAUUAUAUUUGCAUGUGAGGGUAGCGGUCCUUUUGGUAGAUGCAGAGUAUAGAUUCACAAAAUUCACCACAUGAGCGUACUACCUAUAUCCAAAUUCUGGAUACCACUUGCAUCUUUUGUAUGUACACAUGAAAAAGCAUGACGGUUUGCUUCAGUUUGUAUGUGUCCAAUUGUUUUUUUACUUUGACUGAAACUAUCUAUCUUGGUGGCACUUGCAUCUCCUGUAUAUACAUAUGAAUCAGCACCACACUUCUCUUCA